rnacentral:rRNA from 1 species
UACGUAGGGUGCAAGCGUUGUCCGGAUUUAUUGGGUUUAAAGGGUGCGUAGGUGGCCCGUUAAGUCCGGGGUGAAAGCCCACUGCUCAACAGUGGAACUGCCCUGGAUACUGGCGGGCUUGAGUCCAGACGAGGUUGGCGGAAUGGAUGGUGUAGCGGUGAAAUGCAUAGAUACCAUCCAGAACCCCGAUUGCGUAGGCAGCUGACUAGGCUGGUACUGACACUGAGGCACGAAAGCGUGGGGAGCGAACAGG